AGAGUUUGAUCCUGGCUCAGAACGAACGCUGGCGGCAGGCCUAACACAUGCAAGUCGAGCGCACUCUUCGGAGUGAGCGGCGGACGGGUUAGUAACGCGUGGGAAUGUACCCUUCUCUAAGGAAUAGCCUCGGGAAACUGAGAGUAAUACCUUAUACGCCCUUCGGGGGAAAGAUUUAUCGGAGAGGGAUCAGCCCGCGUAAGAUUAGAUAGUUGGUGGGGUAAUGGCCUACCAAGUCUACGAUCUUUAGCUGGUUUUAGAGGAUGAUCAGCAACACUGGGACUGAGACACGGCCCAGACUCCUACGGGAGGCAGCAGUGGGGAAUCUUGGACAAUGGGCGCAAGCCUGAUCCAGCCAUGCCGCGUGAGUGAUGAAGGCCUUAGGGUCGUAAAGCUCUUUCGCCAGGGAUGAUAAUGACAGUACCUGGUAAAGAAACCCCGCUAACU
rnacentral:rRNA from 1 species